UAAUACCUGAUAAGCCCACGGAGUCCUUGGACACUGCGGGAAAAGGAGGGGACCUUCGGGCCUUCCGUCAUCAGAUGAGUCUGCGUACCAUUAGCUAGUUGGUAGGGUAAAGGCCUACCAAGGCGACGAUGGUUAGCUGGCCUGAGAGGAUGAUCAGCCACACUGGAACUGAGACACGGUCCAGACUCCUACGGGAGGCAGCAGUGGGGAAUUUUGCGCAAUGGGGGAAACCCUGACGCAGCAACGCCGCGUGAGUGAUGAAGGCCUUCGGGUCGUAAAGCUCUGUCAGAGGGAAAGAAGUGUAUUAUGGUUAAUACCCAUGAUACUUGACGGUACCCCUAAAGGAAGCACCGGCUAACUCCGUGCCAGCAGCCGCGGUAAUACGGAGGGUGCGAGCGUUGUUCGGAAUUAUUGGGCGUAAAGCGCGUGUAGGCGGUUUGUUAAGUCUGAUGUGAAAGCCCCGGGCUCAACCUGGGAAGUGCAUUGGAAACUGGCAGACUUGAAUACGGGAGAGGGUAGUGGAAUUCCUGGUGUAGGAGUGAAAUCCGUGGAUAUCAGGAGGAACACCGGUGGCGAAGGCGGCUACCUGGACCGAUAUUGACGCUGAGACGCGAAAGCGUGGGUAGCAAACAGGAUUAGAUACCCUGGUAGUCCACGCCGUAAACGAUGAGUACUAGGUGUCGCGGGUA
rnacentral:rRNA from 1 species